rnacentral:rRNA from 1 species
GACAGAGGUGCCGAGCGUUAGGCGGAAUCACUGGGCGUAAAGCGCACGUAGGCGGAUGUGUCAGUCAGGGGUGAAAUCCCGGAGCUCAACUUCGGAACUGCCUCUGAUACAGCACGUCUUGAGUCCGAUAGAGGUGGGUGGAAUUCCUAGUGUAGAGGUGAAAUUCGUAGAUAUUAGGAAGAACACCGGUGGCGAAGGCGGCCCACUGGAUCGGUACUGACGCUGAGGUGCGAAAGCGUGGGGAGCAAACAGG